UCCUGCGAAUCAAGUCCGAAAAUUAGACCAAGAGCUUCCAAAGUAUAGGAGUAUUUAAGGGUGGUCUGUACAUUCUGUCAAACUUCACUUGCUUAUCACGGGAGCACAACCACGAUGCACGAGCACCUAAAAAGGAAACACACAGGAGUUGUUCAAGAUGCGCCCACAGAAAAGGAAAAGACAAUGCAAGUAUAUGAUUAUUAAUGAAACGGCGAGCUAGUCUGUACUGUUUAUUAACUCUUGAGAAGUACAAUGACUGUCUUUGGAUGUUAAACAGGCUACUUAGACUUUGGCAGUAAUGUUUUAAACCCCGCCAUGCAUGCAAGUGUAAACGUGAGCAGCACAGCUGCGUGCCUGCCUGCUUUCAGUGCGAUUCAUUAUUAAGCAGAGCUAAGCGGGGCCAGUGUAAGUUGCUUUAUAAAAGUGUUUUUUGGUCUUGUAAUUUACAGGAAGCAGUACGCCGUCUUCACAACUCAGAGACAAAUUGUAGGCGCUACGAACCGGAGCAAGGACUAACCUCGCCUCAUAACCAGGCCGUGACCUCCUAUUUGCUCGGAGUUAUGUCUGCAAGUCCAUAUUUUCAUGAUGCUGAUAAUGACGCCAUUGUGUCUGCCUGUAAGACAUAUUACGAGACAACACGCAGGAGCUUCAGGUAUAAACAACCAGAUCUGGCAUCGCGGGCGGAAGCUGUGAAAAGUUCAGCUCGGAGUCGGUCGACAAGAAAGAGGCUGCUGGAAGCGAGACAGAGUGUGCUGGCAAGGUGGACAUUUGGAAGUGCACCACGGUAGACCUGACGUCUGAUGAGGAAGACGCCAUCGUUGACGGCGUGUCUGGAUGGAUUGUGCGACCUCCGUCCUUUCGCAGCCAGGAGCUCACAGAGCUCUGUGCCACGCUGCAGUCGAGAUUAGAGGCGAGUCCGAAAUACAGGGCACCGCACCACAGACGUCUGCAAAAUGGACCGAAUUCAGACAGAAUGCCGCCAGGCAGGCAGACAGUUGAUGGUGCUGUAGGAUUUGGCUUCUCGUGAGCGUGGGAGAUUUGUUGUGUGCUGUGUGUCUCCUAUGCUUUGUACAUAGUUUUUUUCUGAUUGCGUUUG